AGCGAACGCUGGCGGCAGGCCUAACACAUGCAAGUCGAACGAAGUCUUCGGACUUAGUUGCGGACGGGUGAGUAACACGUGGGAACGUGCCUUUAGGUUCGGAGUAACUCAGGGAAACUUGUGCUAAUACCGAAUGUGCCCUUCGGGGGAGAGAUUUAUCGCCUUUAGAGCGGCCCGCGUCUGAUUAGCUAGUUGGUGCAGUAAAGGCGCACCAAGGCGACGCUCAGUAACUGGUCGGAGAGGAUGAGCAGCCACAUUGGGACUGAGACACGGCUCAAACUCCUACGGGAGGCAGCAGUGGGGAAUUUUGCGCAAUGGGCGGAAGCCUGACGCAGCCAUGCCGCGUGAAUGAUGAAGGUCUUAGGAUUGUAAAAUUCUUUCACCGGGGACGAUAAUGACGGUACCCGGAGAAGAAGCCCCGGCUAACUUCGUGCCAGCCGCCGCAGUAAAAC
rnacentral:rRNA from 1 species